UGAAGUAUAUUUUGAGGGGAUUGCAUG
rnacentral:piRNA from 1 species